rnacentral:rRNA from 1 species
AUUGAACGCUGGCGGCAUGCCUUACACAUGCAAGUCGAACGGUAACAGGUCUUCGGAUGCUGACGAGUGGCGAACGGGUGAGUAAUACAUCGGAACGUGCCCGAUCGUGGGGGAUAACGGAGCGAAAGCUUUGCUAAUACCGCAUACGAUCUACGGAUGAAAGCAGGGGACCGCAAGGCCUUGCGCGGACGGAGCGGCCGAUGGCAGCUUAGGUAGUUGGUGGGAUAAAAGCUUACCAAGCCGACGAUCUGUAGCUGGUCUGAGAGGACGACCAGCCACACUGGGACUGAGACACGGCCCAGACUCCUACGGGAGGCAGCAGUGGGGAAUUUUGGACAAUGGGCGAAAGCCUGAUCCAGCCAUGCCGCGUGCAGGAUGAAGGCCUUCGGGUUGUAAACUGCUUUUGUACGGAACGAAAAGACUCUUUCUAAUAAAGAGGGUCCAUGACGGUACCGUAAGAAUAAGCACCGGCUAACUACGUG